UUGAAAGGGAAACGAUUGAAGUCAGUCGUACCGGUGGGUAAUCAGCCUUUCGGCGUGAUUAUGUGGAGCGUGAGGAGUUAAACGCCUUCAUGCCUGCAUAUUCGUGUUCUUUGGGUGUACUUACCCGCAUGGUAGGCUAACGUCAAUUUCGAACGUCAUAAAAUGGUUGGGGGAAUGUGGCUUCGAUCUCGUAUUGAAGUGUUAUAGCCUCCGGCAGAUGUGAUGAUCGGGAUUGAGGAUUGCAACGGAUACCCUUCUGGGCUACCCGCCUGAUCUCUGAAAGUUGCUCUGGUGCCGAAAGCUCGCUUACGGUCAUCAAAGUUGACGUUCAACAGGUUAGAACGGGAUAAAUUCGUUAAGGAUGUUGACGUA
rnacentral:rRNA from 1 species